GUUUGAGAAUUGUUGAUUUGGGUUUGUAGUAAUGAACCCCAUUCUUUUUUUAGUCUCUGGUUUAAUGCUAUGGGGGUUGAGCUGCAACGUGCACUAGUUUGCAUGUCUGUGGAUAUGGAUUGUCGAAGGUAGUGAAAUUGGAUAUGCUGCAUGACAUUGUGGCGUGUUUUUGUAUGAUUAUUAGAGAAUGUUGGAGGUUGGUUUUGGUGGGAUGUAGAAGCUGAUUGCCAUAUGAUAAUCCUUGGAACUGGUAGUGAUAGUGUGAGUGCAUCAUCUAAUUUACAUUCGUUAAAUUUCCUUCUUUUUAAUUGCUUCAAGUCUCAUCUUGCUGGCUGUUGAAUAUAUUUUGAACCUGGAUCUCCCAUGUUCAACUCUCCCCUCUCCCCUACAUGUGUAAUAAAAAUAAAAAUAUUUUCUUGCUGCCUGCUGGUGUCAGUUGCUUUUAGGAGUUUUCAUGUUGGAGCAAUAUUGAUUUUCCUUUUUUGGGGGUGAUUUACAUUAUCUUCAGAGUACUAUGGAAAUCUUACUGUUGUUUUGUUUUGUUUCGAUUCUUUGAUGUGUUGACGCUGUAUCCCAGAUUGCAAAUGGCCUGGAAUUUUCUCUUCCCAGAACUUUAUUAAGUAUAUUCUGUUAGCCUGUGUACUUUCACAGAUUAAGCAAAUAUAUCUGUUACUACAAGGUAUCUCAAUCUCCUUUCACUGCCUACUGAGACCAGAACCAACUAGAGUCAGUGAUGCGUGAGAAGUGUGCUUACAAGGACUGAACAAGUUGCCACUGGAAUAUGUUUAACAUGGAACGGAAAAAGAUGCACAUUGUCGGCUGAAGAUUAUUUAAUUUCCUAAGGUGUAAUAGAG
rnacentral:misc_RNA from 1 species